rnacentral:rRNA from 1 species
UUGGAGGGCAAGUCUGGUGCCAGCAGCCGCGGUAAUUCCAGCUCCAAUAGCGUAUAUUAAAGUUGUUGCAGUUAAAAAGCUCGUAGUUGAACUUCGGGAUUUGCUCAUUGGUCAGGCUUCACUGUCUGUACUGGUGUAACGAAUUCCUACCUUCUGAUGAAUCUUCAUGCCAUUCAGUUGGUGCGGAGGGGAAUCAGGACUGUUACUUUGAAAAAAUUAGAGUGUUUAAAGCAGGCUAUUGCUCGAAUACAUUAGCAUGGAAUAAUAGAAUAGGACGGUUGGUUCUAUUUUGUUGGUUUCUAGGAUCACCGUAAUGAUUAAUAGGGAUAGUUGGGGGCAUUAGUAUUCAAUUGUCAGAGGUGAAAUUCUUGGAUUUAUUGAAGACUAACUACUGCGAAAGCAUUUGCCAAGGAUGUUUUCAUUAAUCAAGAACGAAAGUUAGGGGAUCGAAGACGAUCAGAUACCGUCGUAGUCUUAACCAUAAACUAUGCCGACUAGGGAUCGGACGAAGUUAAUUUUUAAAUGACUCGUUCGGCACCUUACGGGAAACCAAAGUGUUUGGGUUC